rnacentral:lncRNA from 1 species
AUUAUUGAAGGUCGUUCAAAUAUUGGGGCCCUCUUUAUACUAAAGCACAGGGAUGAUGUUGUCACAAACACAAUUGAGUUUAAGGUUAUAGCUGCAUCCAGAAAUUAAGUGUGAUGCUUUUUUCCUCCCUUUUACUAUCGAUUAUUAAGUUACUUGGGUUUGGCAGCUCAGUCUGUGUGUGUUAGGGUGUGUUCUUAUAUCAUUUCACUCAUUUAAACUAUUAUAACCAAUAGCUUCAAUUGAUACAUUUUACUCACUUUAGUAAAAAUUUAAAAUGCUAUAAAAUAAGUAUUGCAAAGUUAUAAAUGUCGGGACUUCUGGAUAUGCUUUCCAUAAUGUUAGUCUUAAAAGGCAAGAGAGUGACCUUUUUAUGGGGCAGAAGAUAAAUUGCAGAGAAAAUGCUUGAAAGCUAUCAUCUGAAGAUCUUAUUUAGAUAAAACUGUAAGUUGUGCAGCAGAGGACAAUAUAGUUUAUUAAGCUGGUAAAAAUAAAAUUUCUUUUACCUUGAAAAGGGCACGUUUGUAAUGAGUUUUAUACCUAAUUUAGGACUGACUCAGCAACAAAUUCUCAAUCAGUAUGGUAAAGUACAAACCUUAUUUAUUUGGGUUGAACAAUAGAGUAGGGAGUUCUGAACCUGUGAUCUGGGUUUCAUAGGACCUAAGAUCCCUGAAAUUAUGUGAAGUUUUGCAAAUAUAUUUAUAUUCAUGCAUUUUCCUGGGACCAACCCUCCUUGGCCCUCACUCCCGCUUUGGCCGGAUACACUUGUGCAUUGUUUGAAUUAUAUGGUGCUCCUGGCCUUACUGAAGUGGGGUUUACUAUUUGAGAAAACAUUUUAGAAAAUGUUAAGUUUGCAUCUCAUAGUUUGAGAAACUGUAAAAGAUAAAUGGAAACAACAUGAUUUGACAUAUUGAGGAAACAUGCCUUAUGGGUUUGGGAUUUAGAAACUCAAGUCGUCCUUACCAGGUGCAUUAAAUAUGGAGGUGAGGAAAGUGAACUCAUCUGAGUCAAACAGUGUUUUUAUCCUUUUCAUUUACACUAAAAUCCUUUGUGUAUGUGUUUACCGUACUUUGGAGGGGACAUUCACUCCAGGAGAAGAAGCCCUUUUGCCCAAUUAUUACUGGUUGAGGGUGUCCCGGUUCUUGGUGUCUUGAACAAAGAAUUGGACAAAAUGCACAAAGCAAGGAAAGAAUGAAGCAGCACAGGCAGAGAUUUACUGAAAAUGAUACCACACUCCACAGGUUGGGAGCAGGCCUGAGCAAGCGGCUCAAGGGCCCAGUUACAGAAUUUUCUGGGAUUUAAAUACCCUGUAGAUGCUUCCAUUGGUUACUUGAUGUAUGCCCUAUGUAAAUGAACAGGCUAAAGUGAAGUUACAAAGUUAUUUACUCUGUGUAUGCCCUAUGUAAAUGAAGAGGAUAUUUCCUGUCUUAGGUGGAGUGUUUCCAUUUGAUUUAGUUCUAGGAAGUCCUUAGGUUCCCUGCCUCCAGGCCCUAUUCUCCUGCCUCACAAUUAUCCUCAAAACCUUGCCUGAUUCCUUGAAGCAGAUUUAAGACACACUAUGCUUAGUGGUUGACUAUUUCCAGCUGAUUUUUCAGAGUAGCAAGGAACUUGGAAACUGGCUAUCUGUAGUCUUACUUUAUAAUUCCUAUUUUUUUUCUUAAGUAGCUAAUAGAUUUUUUUUUUAAAAAAGAACAAACAUCAUAAAGCAAACCUGGGGAGAAAAAAAGCAACAAAAAGUUUUGUGUGCAAAUUACAAAAUAAUAUGAUUGCAAUUGGUUUAAGUUGUUAGGCAGCUGUUUUGUCAAAAACUAACAAUAGGGCUGAAUUUAUUUUUGUUAACAAAUUAGAGUUUUGCUUUGAUUGUGUUUCUUUUAGGCUUUUCUGCUUUUUUCUUCCUCGCAUAAAUGAACCAAAUAUUUUCUCUCUGAUAUUCCACAAGAGAAAUCUCUCACUUAAAAAAAAAAUUGUAGGACUUGUCUUUCAUAUAAAAAAAAUCUGAAAUACAUCUUUUUCUGUUCCAGGUCAAAAUGAUUUCAUUUUUCAUCUUUGUUGUUGACUAAUGGUAGACUUCUUGUAGGAGCUUACAUGCAUAAGAAGUUUUUGAGCAGUGCUCAUGAAGUCUUUUGUUAGCCUUUUUUUCUAUGUGGCAUAAAGUAAACCCAACCUGAUUUGGUUCCUGAGCUCUCUUCAUGGGCAAAGAAUGCCAUCUUUGCUUGUUCUAUCUGGAAUGAUUGGCCUAUAUCUGGUAUAGAUGGUUCACUGUUUAGAAUUCUCAUUUGCAGACAUUUUUAUGAGUAUUUUGUGAAUUUAAUAAUGUACUCCCACUGAUUGGUAUCUGUUCCAUAUUUGUCCUUGACAAGUUUGUCCUGAAACUUGUCCUUAAGGGCAAGCUUGUAUCUUUUUCUUGGCUUGAGUCUCUAUCAUCCUCUUCCCACUUCCUACAACCCCCUACCGUCCUCCAAAGCAGAACAAGCUUGCACAACUUGUGGCCUGCCGGCCCCAUGAGGCCCAGGGCAGCUUUGAAUGUGGCCCAACACCAAUUCCUAAACUUUCUUAAAACAUUAUGAGAUUUUUUAAAAUUUAUUUUUAUUUUUUAGCUUAUCAGCUAUCAGUAGUGUUAGUGUAUUUUAUGUGUGGCCCAAGACAAUUCUUCCACGUGGCCCAGGGAAGCCAAAAGAUUGGACAUCCCCUGAUCUAGAACAAAGGCUAAUGAGCAAGAAGUUUACUUGGUAGUGAUCCCAUUGUGCUAAAGUGAGGGAUCAGGGGAAUUGAACAGGAAAUGGCGGUGGUGGUGGGUGGGGUAUACUGUGAUGUAUUAUUGAGCUGUUAAAUUGGAUGACUGAUACUCAAUGUUUAUGGAAUCUUCUUUUAAAUGUGUCUCAGAACUGUUUGCUUGGGGAACAAAAGGAAGAAACAUGUAUCUAUUGACAUCUGUCUGCUAUUGCUUAAGUCUGUCCAGGCAAGCAUUAACUCCAAGGAGUGAGACCAAAAGGAUUUGCGCCUCUCAUUUGUGGUACUUAAGAGAUGUCCAAUAAAAUUUUGUGUACUUAUUAGGACCAAGCUCAAAUCUAUGUGCAUUCAGACUACUUUACUGACUUGAAAGUUAUAGCUCUGAAAAUAGAAAAAGCACAAGUAGCACAUUAUUAUUUCUAUUUUUCCCAAAUCUGCUAAACAAAUAGGUUAUAUUUUAUGGUGUUUUAAGCAAAAUGUUGUUCUGGUUUCUGGUGUCCAACAUUCUUCCUACAUAAUUUAUACGUUAAUAUCUGUAGAACUUCAGUAACAGUAAGCUCUUCCACAUGGCCACUCCCUUCAGAAAUGUACCACAUGGCAAUGUUUUCACCUUAUGGAACCACUUUUUUUUUUUUUUUUUUGAGAUGGAGUCUCGCU